AUCUCUGAAAUUUGAAUGAAAUGCCUCUUGUGAGACCAACAUGGGCUGCCUGCUCACUGAAGGAUAAGAUUACAUCAUGCUAUUGAAAGUGGAUUAGUCACGUCUCACAUGCUACCCAACCUGCGGAUGUUCACAUGUCUUCAGAGACCUCUGCCGAUUAUAGGAAGCUGCAGUCUAA